UACGAAGGGGGCUAGCGUUGCUCGGAAUCACUGGGCGUAAAGCGCACGUAGGCGGACUCUUAAGUCGGGGGUGAAAUCCUGGAGCUCAACUCCAGAACUGCCUUCGAUACUGGGAGCCUUCGAGUUCGGGAGAGGUGAGUGGAACUGCGAGUGUAGAGGUGAAAUUCGUAGAUAUUCGCAAGAACACCAGUGGCGAAGGCGGCUCACUGGCCCGAUACUGACGCUGAGGCACGAAAGCGUGGGGAGCAAACAGG
rnacentral:rRNA from 1 species